rfam:Gossypium raimondii chromosome 3, whole genome shotgun sequence.
AAUUCGUGGUGCGGGCAUUUUUUAAUCAAUAUUUUGAAGCGUUCCCACACCUCAUAAAAACUUUCCCUUCUAUUUGUCUAAGGAUAAUGAUCUCUCUUCUUAGUU